rnacentral:rRNA from 1 species
GACGGAGGGUGCAAGCGUUGUUCGGAUUGACUGGGCGUAAAGGGCGUGUAGGCGGUUCGUCAAGUCGGGUGUGAAAGCCUGGGGCUCAGCCCCAGAAGUGCGCCCGAUACUAGCGAGCUAGAGCGCGAUAGAGGAGGGUGGAAUUCCUGGUGUAGCGGUGAAAUGCGUAGAUAUCAGGAGGAACACCGGCGGCGAAGGCAAUCCCCUGGGCCUGCACUGACGCUCAUGCACGAAAGCGUGGGGAGCAAACAGG